UGGGGAAUAUUGCGCAAUGGGGGCAACCCUGACGCAGCAAUACCGCGUGAGUGAAGAAGGUUUUCGGAUCGUAAAGCUCUGUUAUUGGGGAAGAAAACAUGACGGUACCCAAUGAGGAAGUCCCGGCUAACUACGUGCCAGCAGCCGCGGUAAUACGUAGGGGACAAGCGUUGUCCGGAAUGACUGGGCGUAAAGGGCGCGUAGGCGGUCUGAUAAGUCAGAUGUGAAAGGUACCGGCUCAACCGGUGACGUGCAUUUGAAACUGUCAGACUUGAGUAUUGGAGAGGCAAGUGGAAUUCCUAGUGUAGCGGUGAAAUGCGUAGAUAUUAGGAGGAACACCAGUGGCGAAGGCGGCUUGCUGGACAAAUACUGACGCUGAGGUGCGAAAGCGUGGGGAGCGAACAGG
rnacentral:rRNA from 1 species